CGCGAACGCCGAACGGUUGUUGAAGAUAUUGAUGUACAGUGUGCGUGGUCGGAAUCGUCUUAUUUGACGGAACUUAAUUGAGUACGGACGGAGUUUUUCCACACUUCAAACGCGGCGGAAUCGGGUACAGAGGUGCUGGAGGAUGCUUUACUCGCGGGUACAGUGCGUGACCUUAACAACAAACCUGUGUCCAGAACCCAAACUGCCUGCUUGAAGAUGAACACGGAUGACGCAAUAAAAGUCUUCAUUUACAACAAAGGAAGAUGACAGCAGAAGUAUUUCUCAUUACUGUGUUUUGAACUAACCAAUCAGUGAAUUCCCAUCUUCUACUGGCCAUGAGGAAGAACUCUAUCAUGCACACAGUGAAUAGAGCUCAGUGCUGCUAACUGGGAGAAUAGCUGGAAAACUGGAGGAGGAGAACAUUUGAACAUACAGACAACUAUAUUAUUUUUCUGCAAGAACCACAACAAGCAAAGACGAUGAGCACUCUGAGCAAACAACAGUCAGACG